rnacentral:rRNA from 1 species
AACCUUGGGCCUGGCUGGCCGGUCCGCCUCACCGCGUGCACUGGUCCGGCCGGGCCUUUCCCUCUGUGGAACCGCAUGCCCUUCACUGGGUGUGCCGGGGAAACAGGACUUUUACUUUGAAAAAAUUAGAGUGCUCCAGGCAGGCCUAUGCUCGAAUACAUUAGCAUGGAAUAAUAGAAUAGGACGUGUGGUUCUAUUUUGUUGGUUUCUAGGACCGCCGUAAUGAUUAAUAGGGACAGUCGGGGGCAUCAGUAUUCAAUUGUCAGAGGUGAAAUUCUUGGAUUUAUUGAAGACUAACUACUGCGAAAGCAUUUGCCAAGGAUGUUUUCAUUUAUCAGGAACGAAAGUUAGGGGAUCGAAGACGAUCAGAUACCGUCGUAGUCUUAACCAUAAACUAUGCCGACUAGGGAUCGGACGAUGUUAUUUUUUGACUCGUUCGGCACCUUACGAGAAAUCAAAGUGCUUGGGCUCCAGGGGGAGUAUGGUCGCAAGGCUGAAACUUAAAGAAAUUGACGGAAGGGCACCACCAGGU